rnacentral:lncRNA from 1 species
UUCACCCCCCUCUAGGUGUUACUUACCUUUUAGAUCCUCGGGAUCCAUAUCUUACAGACAGUCAGUCGAUUCUGGAUGAAGUACAAUCCUCGAAUUUCGAGAAUUCACUUCCUUACAUCCUCCCCUCUUUAAAAGGAGUUUCGUCCUCGAAACUAACUCAAUUUUUAACCUCAACUUAAAUUCUUACCUUACUCCUCAAAUAAAU